rnacentral:misc_RNA from 1 species
GUGAAUCAUCGAAUUUUUGAACGCAAAUUGCACUCCCUGGUAUUCCGGGGAGUAUGCCUGUUUGAGGGUCGUUAGAACAAAAAUCGAAGUGUCGCUCUUUUUUUUUAAGGGUGAUCGCGUCGGAAUUGAGCCGUCUUUCAAAUGUUAAUUCAUGUCAAAGUGGUUUGAAAUUCAUCCACCCGGUCCGUUUAAAGCUUAUUUAAAACAAACUUUGUUAA